AGAAUCAACGCUGGCGGCGUGCCUCAGACAUGCAAGUCGAACGCGAAAGUCCCCUUCGGGGGAUAAGUAGAGUGGCGCACGGGUGAGUAACACGUAGGUAAUCUACCUUCGGAUGGGGAAUAACAACCGGAAACGGUUGCUAAUACCGCAUAAUGCAGCGGCACCUAAUGGUGACAGUUGUUAAAGCGGGGGAUCGAAAGCCUCGCGUCUGAAGAGGAGCCUGCGGCGGAUUAGCUAGGUUGGUAAGGUAAUGGCUUACCAAGGCGACGAUCC
rnacentral:rRNA from 1 species